rnacentral:rRNA from 1 species
UGCGCAGGCGGAAAAGUAAGUCAGUGGUGAAAGGUUGCCGCUUAACGGUAAGAUUGCCAUUGAUACUGCUUUUCUUGAGUAUGGUUGAGGUAGACGGAAUGUGUGGUGUAGCGGUGAAAUGCAUAGAUAUCACACAGAACACCGAUUGCGAAGGCAGUCUACUAAGCCAUUACUGACGCUGAGGCACGAAAGCGUGGGUAGCGAACAGGAUUAGAUACCCUGGUAGUCC